UCCAUGAAGCUGGAUUCGCUAGUAAUCGCGCAUCAGCCAUGGCGCGGUGAAUACGUUCCCGGGCCUUGUACACACCGCCCGUCAAGCCAUGGAAGCCGGGAGUGCCUGAAGUGUGCAACCGCAAGGAGCGCCCUAAGGUAAAACUGGUGACUGGGGCUAAGUCGUAACAAGGUACC
rnacentral:rRNA from 1 species